GCACGCUGUGUCACUUGUCCUUUGUACCUUUAGUGAGUCGGCAGAAGGAAGAGUGUGAAGGCUGCUUCGGGAAGCAGAGGAGGCUCAAAAGAAGGAAGAACGGUAACAGCAGAGAAGCAAGAUGGCCGUGGUGGACAGGGCAGAGAGAAGGCCUCGGUCGUGCAGAGGCGGGUCAGAGAGCCUUUUCUGCCUAUGGGGAACAGAAGACAGCAGCACCAUCCAGCCGAUGAAGUCCAGGCCCGGCAACAGCAGACCACACAGCACUCGACUCCUUCCAAACGCCCCCAGGGCCUUGUGUUUGGAUGAGUUGCCCACAUGAAGAACACGUGUGACCAGAUCUAUGCAGUGACUCCAACCAGGAGCAGAAAAUGGAAAUGCUGAAGUGAUAGCAGCCAUGACCACUCCUUGUUGGGCUGUACUCAGGCUGGUGACAAAGUACCAUUGAGAGUGCUAGUACCAAGAAAACUGAACUCGGACUGGGAAGGAGGGAUGACAAUGAAGAAACGCUAUGUGGAGGUCUGCAGAUGCUGAGGGAAGCUGCACUGAGCAGCUUCUCAGAGGAAUGCACCUUGGUGAGAUCGUUCACACCAUUCCUGGGCUUGCCUUGAAUGAGCUGGCAGUGGAGACAAAGACGCUGUGUGGUUCUUAACAGCCUCAAGACAGCUU